rnacentral:rRNA from 1 species
AUUGAACGCUGGCGGCAGGCCUAACACAUGCAAGUCGAACGAGCGGCGGACGGGUGAGUAAUGUCUGGGAAACUGCCCGAUGGAGGGGGAUAACUACUGGAAACGGUAGCUAAUACCGCAUACUAUCGGAUGUGCCCAGAUGGGAUUAGCUAGUAGGUGGGGUAAAGGCUCACCUAGGCGACGAUCGCUAGCGGGUCUGAGAGGGUGAUCAGCCAAACUGGAACGGAGACACGGUCCAGACUCCUACGGGAGGCAGCAGUGGGGAAUAUUGCACAAUGGGCGCAAGCCUGAUGCAGCCAUGCCGCGUGUAUGAAGAAGGCCUUCGGGUUGUAAAGUACUUUCAGCGGGGAGGCGUUACCCGCAGAAGAAGCACCGGCUAACUCCGUGCCAGCCGCCGCGGUAAUUC